AACACUGUUAACCUGCGGUACCUGCGGAGGGAUCAUUACACAAAUGAAAAUAUGAAGGCCCUUCAAACCGGCUGGAUUAUUUUUCUUCACCCUUGUCUUUUGCGCACUUGUUGUUUCCUGGGCGGGUUCGCUCGCCACCAGGACCACACCAUAAACCUUUUUGUUAAUGCAAUCAGCGUCAGUAAAAAGUAAUAAUUAUUUUACAACUUUUAACAAUGGAUCUCAGAUCGGAAGAGCACA
rnacentral:misc_RNA from 1 species